UCAUUUUGCAAGCUUCUUGGCCGAAUGUUCUUGCUCAAGAAAGAAAGAAAAGCUCUCAAUUUCUUCCUUCUAUUUCUUGCUCAAUCUUCAAAUCCAACCAAUAAAACUCCAAAUCAUUCCAUAAAAUCUCUUUGCUAAGUGGUCUUGAGGUGUUUUGUGGAGUUGUUUGGAAAGCUAAGGUGACUAGUUGCUCUAUCUCUUGUAUUGCUAAGGUGAGUUGUGAAGGACCCCUCUCCUUCCUCUAAUGAUGUUCAAUUCAUGAUU
rnacentral:lncRNA from 1 species